UACGAAGGGUACAAGCGUUGUUCGGAAUUACUGGGCGUAAAGCGCGCGUAGGCGGACGCGUAAGUCGAUUGUGAAAGCCCUGGGCUUAACCUGGGAACUGCAGUCGAAACUGCGUGUCUUGAGUGCCUGAGAGGAUGGCGGAAUUCCCGGUGUAGUAGUGAAAUACGUAGAUAUCGGGAAGAACACCAGUGGCGAAGGCGGCUCACUGGACCGGAACUGACGCUGAGGCGCGAAAGCGUGGGGAGCAAACAGG
rnacentral:rRNA from 1 species